rnacentral:rRNA from 1 species
AGCAGUAGCCGCGGUAAAACGGAGGGUGCAAGCGUUAUCCGGAUUUAUUGGGUUUAAAGGGUCCGUAGGCGGAUCUGUAAGUCAGUGGUGAAAUCUCACAGCUUAACUGUGAAACUGCCAUUGAUACUGCAGGUCUUGAGUAAAUUUGAAGUGGCUGGAAUAAGUAGUGUAGCGGUGAAAUGCAUAGAUAUUACUUAGAACACCAAUUGCGAAGGCAGGUCACUAAGAUUUAACUGACGCUGAUGGACGAAAGCGUGGGGAGCGAACAGGAUUAGAUACCCCUGUAGUCCCUGUCUCUUAUAC